UUAAAUUAGCAACUAUAAUGAAGAAUAUGAAGAAUCCGGGAAUUUAUAUAUUAUACUAUCGAAGAAUUUAUUGAUUCUAAGGCAUUUGUUUAGUCUGCGUUGUUUUAUAUUUUACAAUGCCAUAUUGCUUUGCUCCAGAGUCAAUCAUAAUUCUAGAGAGGAACUUUCCAAAAAUUUGUAAGGCAUAGACUGAUGCUCCUACAGUACUAAAAGUUUCGUUUCAUGUUUAUUAUUAUUAAACACCAAAAAUCACAAAAUUAAGUAUUACAUGUAAACAUUUACUGUAAUACUCAACUGACUUACUGAUUUUUUGUUUAUCUAUUUUAAAAUUUCAUAAACAAAAGGUUUGUUCCUAUUUGGUUUGGUUUUCAUGAGACCCACAAUAUGUACAACUGAAAUGAAUGUAUACUGAAAUUGACAAAAUAAGGUAACAAACUGCCUGGACAAAGGAACCAACUGUUCUGUUUUCGUAGAGCUCACUAUAAGUAGUUCGAUAUCUCUAAGGAAUUUAAUAUAAAUGUGGGUGUUCUGCAAGGAUCAGUACUUGGUCCUUUACUUUUUCUCAUGUAUGUGAACGAUCUGCCACAACUGCAGGUAACUGGCAAAUUUACAUUGUUUGCCGAUGAUACCAUCAUCCUCUGGCACGAAUCUGAUGUUUCUCAAAUGGAGGCCAAUAUACAUGCAGAUUUGUUAAAAAUAAAAGACUGGUGUGAUGCAAAUUUUUUGACAUUUAAUGUUUCCAAAACAAAUAUCCUUAAUUUUAAAUGUAAUACAAAUGAUAUAUGUUUAAAUAAUGAAGCCAUCACCAUGCCACCGUUCAGUAAGUUUUUGGGUCUUUCCAUAGACAAGUUCCUCAAAUUUGAAGACCAUAUUGUGAAUGUAUGUAGAAAAGUCUCUUCAGGCUGCUACGCCCUAAGGGUUAUUGCCACCAGUCUUAAUUUCUCCAUCGCCAGAUCUGCAUACUUCGCGAUUAUCGAGUCGCACCUUCGAUAUGGAAUUUGCUUUUGGGGUUCAUGUUCAAAUUCACUUUUUAAUUUAGUGUCUGUACUCCAGAAAAGGGCCAUUAGAUAUCUAUGUGGGGCCAAGCCUCGUGACUCAUGUCGCCCGCUUUUUUUUUUAGAAAAUAUAAACAGGAACUCCACUUAGGAAGCCACUAUAAUACGCGACAAAAUUAUUUGUUGAGGCUACCCAUUCCUCAUUUUGAACUUGUCCGUAGCUCUAUCAUAUAUGGAGGCAGAAAGCUGGUUAAUAAACUUCCACUAGAAAUAAGACAACUUAAGACUGAAAAAAGCCUACGUACAAGGACGAAAAUAUUUCUUGCUACUAAAGCAUACUAUAGUUUAAGUGAAUUUUUUAAUGAUUAGCAUUUAAGUAUUUUUCAAAGUUUUAUAUAGUUUUGUUUUGUUUUAAAUUAACUUCUUGUUUUUAUUCCUUUAAUGUACAGUCUAUUGGCUUUGUCUACAACUUCUAUGUUUAUAUUGACAAUAAAGCAUUUUUGAGUUUGA